AGUAGGCAAAGAUUUCUUAGAACCAAGAAAGCAUAUUUUGUAAGAGAAAAAAAAAUAAUUUGAAGAACUGGACUUUCUCAAAGUUAUAAACUUUUGCUCUUUGAAGGGCACAUUAAGAAUAUAACAAGACCAGGAAACUGAUGUCCAAAGAGACAAGCUUUACCAAGGCCACCAGCAUGCCAAAGAGCUAGACGAGGACGUGGUAUCACCCCGACCCAGCCCAGUGCUCUCCUAGGAGAGGAUCUUGAAAAAUAUUCAGUAACUAAAGCUAACUUCAGGUUGUUGGUCAUCUCCUUCGAAUUAUCAGCAUUAAAUGUAAAACUUAUUCUGCCUGUGUUUACCGAAAGUCAGAGGCACAAACAAGGUUGGAACGGAGAGAGAAAGCAACCGAAGAAGAUGCUGAGGGUUUCAAUUCUAUCAACUUGGGCAGACUACCAGAGAGGUAAACAUUCAGUUUGCUGAUGUAAACGUUGGGAAGAGGGGAACGAGAGGAGUGGAGAAAGGUUUUAACCAAUGAAAAUAACUCUUCCUUAAUUAACUCUAUUAAAUGCAU